rnacentral:misc_RNA from 1 species
AUUCAGCCUGGCAAAAAUCCAAGGGAAAAAAAAUCAGCACAAGAAAAGCAUAGCAUAAACUUUCUAACCAUUAGCGACAACAAAAGCAGAAGACCAAGGAAUCUCAUAAAUAGACUUAAAUAAAUAAGAGAAUAUUAAUUGAACAAUGAACAUAUAUAUAAGCGCAUCUGAUUCCUGUCGGAAAAGACUAAUUCAAGAGUAAAAUUAUCUUUCACUAACCUGACAAUCUUGAAGAGGAUGAA